rnacentral:tRNA from 1 species
GCCGGGGUGGCAGAAUCUGGUCAUCGCGCUGGUCCCGAAAACCAGUGCCCUUCGGGGCUUUAGGGUUCAAAUCCCUACCCCGGCG